rnacentral:rRNA from 1 species
GGGGAAUAUUGGGCAAUGGGCGCAAGCCUGACCCAGCAACGCCGCGUGAAGGAAGAAGGCUUUCGGGUUGUAAACUUCUUUUAUUCGGGACGAAGAAAGUGACGGUACCGAAUGAAUAAGCCACGGCUAACUACGUGCCAGCCGCCGCGGUAAUACGGAGGAUGCGAGCGUUAUCCGGAUUUAUUGGGUUUAAAGGGUGCGCAGGCGGACUGUUAAGUCAGCGGUAAAAUGUCGGUGCUCAACACCGGCCGGCCGUUGAAACUGGCAGCCUUGAGUGAGCGAGAAGUAUGCGGAAUGCGUGGUGUAGCGGUGAAAUGCAUAGAUAUCACGCAGAACUCCGAUUGCGAAGGCAGCAUACCGGCGCUCAACUGACGCUCAGGCACGAAAGCGUGGGUAUCGAACAGG